GAUGAACGCUGGCGGCGUGCCUAACACAUGCAAGUCGAACGGAACUAUUUUGGAAACUCCUUCGGGAGCGGAAUUUUUAGUUUAGUGGCGGACGGGUGAGUAACGCGUGAGCAAUCUGCCUUUAAGAGGGGGAUAACAGUCGGAAACGGCUGCUAAUACCGCAUAAAGCAUCAAAUUCGCAUGUUUUUGAUGCCAAAGGAGCAAUCCGCUUUUAGAUGAGCUCGCGUCUGAUUAGCUGGUUGGCGGGGUAACGGCCCACCAAGGCGACGAUCAGUAGCCGGACUGAGAGGUUGAACGGCCACAUUGGGACUGAGACACGGCCCAGACUCCUACGGGAGGCAGCAGUGGGGAAUAUUGCGCAAUGGGGGAAACCCUGACGCAGCAACGCCGCGUGAUUGAAGAAGGCCUUCGGGUUGUAAAGAUCUUUAAUCAGGGACGAAACAAAUGACGGUAC
rnacentral:rRNA from 1 species